rnacentral:rRNA from 1 species
AGUCCUAAAGACGACGUAUACGGACUGACGCCUGCCCGGUGCUGGAAGGUUAAAAGGAGGGGUCAGCGCAAGCAAAGCUCCGAAUUGAAGCCCCAGUAAACGGCGGCCGUAACUAUAACGGUCCUAAGGUAGCGAAAUUCCUUGUCGGGUAAGUUCCGACCUGCACGAAUGGCGUAACGAUCUCCACACUGUCUCGGCCAGAGACUCGGUGAAAUUGCAGUCGCGGUGAAAAUUCCGUGUACCCGCAGAAAGACGGAAAGACCCUGUGCACCUUUACUAUAGCUUGACAUUGGAUUUUGGGCCUGCAUGUGUAGGAUAGGUGGGAGGCUGUGAACCCUGUACGCCAGUAUGGGGGGAGCCAUCCUUGAAAUACCACCCUUGCAUGUUUAAGAUCCUAACUUCUUCCGGUUAUCCCGGAGAAAGACAGUGUCUGGCGGGUAGUUUGACUGGGGCGGUCGCCUCCUAAAGUGUAACGGAGGCAUGCAAAGGUUCCCUCAGCCUGAUCGGAAACCAGGCGCUGAGUGCAAACGCAUAAGGGAGCUUGACUGUAAGAGAGACAUCUCGAACAGGAACGAAAGUUGGCGUUAGUGAUCCGGUGGUCCCGAAUGGAAGGGCCAUCGCUCAUUGGAUAAAAGGUACGCCGGGGAUAACAGGCUGAUCGCAUCCAAGAGUUCACAUCGACGAUGCGGUUUGGCACCUCGAUGUCGGCUCAUCACAUCCUGGGGCUGGAGCAGGUCCCAAGGGUACGGCUGUUCGCCGUUUAAAGUGGUACGCGAGCUGGGUUUAAAACGUCGUGAGACAGUUUGGUCCCUAUCUUCUGUGGGCGAAGGAGAAUUGAGAGGGCCUGUCCCUAGUACGAGAGGACCGGGAUGGACGCACCCCUGGUGAUCCUGUUGUCGCGCCAGCGGCAUAGCAGGGUAGCUAUGUGCGGAAGGGAUAACCGCUGAAAGCAUCUAAGCGGGAAGCCUGCCUCAAGAUAAGUUCUCCCCUCGAAAGAGCUGAAGGGCCCGGGUAGACUACCCGGUCGAUAGGCUGGAGGUGUAAGCGCGGCGACGUGCUCAGCUGACCAGUACUAAUAGCCCGAGCGGCUUAUUUUU